UCGAAUUUGGGGAGGGAAGAUGGAAGGGUGAAGACUGUCGCUGGCUAGAUUAGCAUGUGCACGUCUCUCGCCUUUUCAUCUAACCUUUCUCUUUCUCUCACACCUGUGCACCUGUCGUAGGCCCUCGAAAGAGGAUCUAUGUUUUUUCACAUCACACCUGAUUUGCAUGGCCAUAGAAUGUGUCAUAAUGAAAUAAAUA
rnacentral:misc_RNA from 1 species